rnacentral:rRNA from 1 species
GACGAACCGUGCGAACGUUGUUCGGAAUAACUGGGCUUAAAGGGAGCGUAGGCGGGCUAACAAGUUUGGGGUGAAAUCCCGCGGCUCAACCGUGGAACUGCCUUAGAUACUGUCGGCCUCGAGGGAGAUAGGGGCAUGCGGAACUAACGGUGGAGCGGUGAAAUGCGUUGAUAUCGUUAGGAACUCCGGUGGCGAAAGCGGCGUGCUGGAUCUCUUCUGACGCUGAGGCUCGAAAGCUAGGGGAGCAAACGGG